UGGAAUGUAGGUUUCUGUCCCUUGCAGGAACAGGCAUCGACGGCCACCAUCAUGGCUGCGAGAUUGGGGUGGCCACCGUGCUUCUAAAUUGGAUCCCGUUGUAAACAUACAUGGUUUCCGUACAAUGCAUCUGUCUUAGAUCAUAAAGGAUUAAACCACACGCCGCCAGGAUACGUUAACUCCAACCUCCACCAAGACCAUCUCCCAACAACAGCCCUUCGUCUCGUCCUGUCCCUGCUCCGGGCCACCCUACCCGCCACACACAAAAACCAGUCCUGCAGGUCGUACGAUGCCCAUUCACGGUAGCCAUUCCGCGCCGGUGCGUAGCUAGGGGCCCCGGCAUUCAUGAUCCUCAGGCUGAAGGGUUUUGGCCCGCAACACCCACUAAGCGGAAGUUGAACCACCUGGCCAGGUGCGACCAGAGUUGGCCAAGGCAGAUCGUAUGUCAAGGAGGGCAUGGAGCGGCACCAGCGGCAGUGGUGGCACUGGAAGCCGCCGGGGGACUGUGAUGUUGGGUUCUGAUCCCCAGUUGAGUGCGAGACGAAGUGGGUUCGAAGUGAGGGAAGGAGGGGGACGGAGGGCGCAAGGCCGUGGAGAUGGGAAGCUCGCACCGCUAACGUCAAUACGGCAAUCUACACGCCGAACGUCAAUGGCUGUUCCAGGAAGGAGGGAAUGUGGUCGGGGAAGGAAAGGGGCGUGGGGGAAUGAUGGAUGAAACUGUCGUGUGUCGUCUCAGCUUCCAUGGACUGGUUGGGGAGCUUUGGGACAACUGUACCUCUUCUUUUGCCUUCAGACAUCUUGCGCUAUAGGCCGCAACAACUUAUUACUCUCCCACUCCCUCCCUGCAUUCCUCCACCUCCCUUUCCGCAUCCCCUGCCUACGUACGCAUGAAGGGUAGGCCUCAACUAACCGGGGAAUCCGGCCUCAGCUGGCCAAUAAACCUGCUUUAUACUUUACCACUCGGCAGUGAAAACUCCCCCCCAGUGAAACCCCCAACUGCCAAUGCUCAACUGGCAGUGCUCCCUGCCGUCAGUCGUAAAGUACGGAUCCGAAUUUAGUGGCCAUAUGAAUCAUACCCAAAUCCGAAGCAUCCAGCACCUGACGGGGGCCCCUGGGUGGGGAGAGAGCUAACAGGGAAGGUUUGCAAGUGUAUGUAUGUAUGUAUGUAUGUAUGUAUGUAUGUAUGUAUGUAUGUAUGUAUGUAUGUAUGUAUGUAUGUAUGUAUGUAUGUAUGUAUGUAUGUAUGUAUGUAUGUAUGUAUGUAUGUAUGUAUGUAUGUAUGUAUGUAUGUAUGUAUGUAUGUAUGUAUGUAUGUAUGUAUGUAUGUUUU
rnacentral:lncRNA from 1 species